rnacentral:rRNA from 1 species
GUGGGGAAUAUUGGACAAUGGGCGAAAGCCUGAUCCAGCAAUGCCGCGUGAGUGAUGAAGGCCUUAGGGUUGUAAAGCUCUUUUGCCAGGGAUGAUAAUGACAGUACCUGGAGAAUAAGCUCCGGCUAACUCCGUGCCAGCAGCCGCGGUAAUACGGAGGGAGCUAGCGUUGUUCGGAAUUACUGGGCGUAAAGCGCGCGUAGGCGGCUUUGUAAGUUAGAGGUGAAAGCCCGGGGCUCAACCCCGGAACUGCCUUUAAGACUGCAUCGCUUGAAUCCGGGAGAGGUGAGUGGAAUUCCGAGUGUAGAGGUGAAAUUCGUAGAUAUUCGGAAGAACACCAGUGGCGAAGGCGGCUCACUGGACCGGUAUUGACGCUGAGGUGCGAAAGCGUGGGGAGCAAA